rnacentral:misc_RNA from 1 species
CAGCUGCGUGAAUUAAUGUGAAUUGCAGGACACAUUGAACAUCGAUAUCUUGAACGCAUAUUGCGGCCUCGGGCAAUCCCGAGGCCACGCCUGUCUCAGGGUCGGUUGAACGUCAAUCGCGAAGCAGCUCAAUUUGCUCGCGCAUUGGGCGUCGCAGCAGACGCCGUCGACGAAGGGCCGUUCGACGGCGCUAGAGUCGACGACGCCGACGCUGCGUCGCCUCAAGUACAGACGGGUUGCUCGGUUGGCGCAUUCGCCCGACCGGGACGGUGACUCGACUCUCGUAGAGCGCACCAUCUCCCGCGUUGAGGCCGGCGCCGAGAGCGGCCGCAUAAGCUAUUCAAACAGACUUCGACCUGAGAUCAGACGAGAUUACCCGCUGAAUUUAA